UAUGCAAGCAUGUGUGUUUGGUUUGGUAAAACUUUUUGAAGAGGUGCUUGUACUUUUUAAAAGGUCAAGUUCCUCAUUUUAUAUUUGAUAAAUAAAAAAAAAUAUAUGCUUAUGCUUACAGUUUUU